rnacentral:rRNA from 1 species
GAUGAACGCUGGCGGCGUGCCUAAUACAUGCAAGUCGAGCGAACAGACGAGGAGCUUGCUCCUCUGACGUUAGCGGCGGACGGGUGAGUAACACGUGGAUAACCUACCUAUAAGACUGGGAUAACUUCGGGAAACCGGAGCUAAUACCGGAUAAUAUAUUGAACCGCAUGGUUCAAUAGUGAAAGACGGUUUUGCUGUCACUUAUAGAUGGAUCCGCGCCGCAUUAGCUAGUUGGUAAGGUAACGGCUUACCAAGGCAACGAUGCGUAGCCGACCUGAGAGGGUGAUCGGCCACACUGGAACUGAGACACGGUCCAGACUCCUACGGGAGGCAGCAGUAGGGAAUCUUCCGCAAUGGGCGAAAGCCUGACGGAGCAACGCCGCGUGAGUGAUGAAGGUCUUCGGAUCGUAAAACUCUGUUAUUAGGGAAGAACAAAUGUGUAAGUAACUAUGCACGUCUUGACGGUACCGAAUCAGAAAGCCACAGCUAACUACGU